AUGGAGAAUCAAGAUCCAAACAAGGCAAAUGUCACACCUAGCUGGAAACCUCAACUUGGCAUGAAAUUCGAUAAUUUGGAUGAGGCAUGGGACUUUUGGAGGUACUAUGGAGGAAGAAUGGGAUUCAGUGUUAGAAAGAGGUUUACAACUCGGAGUAAAUUUGAUGGUGUAGUGACUUCAUGCAGAUAUGUAUGUUUCAAAGAGGGGAAGAAGUCUGCAGAUAAAAGAGAUAACCUAACUAAGACAGGCCGAGCUGAAAUUAGAACUGAUUGUGAGGUCCGUAUGUCUCUUACAAUAGACCGUGAAGUCGGAAAUUAUGAAAUAUAUGAUCUUUGUCUUGAACAUAAUCACAUGCUUCAGCUGCCAGAAGCAUGCCACUUGUUGCCAUCACAAAGAAGGAUCUCUAAAGUGCAAGCUUUUGAAAUUGAAAUAGCUGAUGACUCUGGUAUUGCACCAAAAAAUGCUCAUGAAUUUGCUAGUCGACGUGUUGGUGGUUCAGCUGGUUUAACUUAUACACGCGUAGAUCACAAGAACCACUUGCGAACAAAGCGCCAAAGAGAAUUGAAGUAUGGUGAGGCUGGACGUAUGUUGAAGUAUUUUCAAGACAAAGCCAUUGAGAAUCCUUCCUUUCAAUUUGUGUACAGUUGGACAGUGAGGAACAAAUAA
rnacentral:rRNA from 1 species